rfam:Tupaia chinensis contig210071, whole genome shotgun sequence.
AUACGUACCUGGCAGGGCGGUACCAGGAUCGUGAAGGUGUUUUUCCCAGGGAGAUAUUUGUUCUUUGCAUUCCAGACGUGGCCUGUGAUUUCCCCAAUUGUGGGAAACUCUCAUCUGCGUAAUUUGUGGUAAUGGGGAACUGCAUUCUUACUUUCCUCAG